rnacentral:rRNA from 1 species
UACGUAGGUGGCAAGCGUUAUCCGGAUUUACUGGGUGUAAAGGGCGUGUAGGCGGGACUGCAAGUCAGAUGUGAAAACCACGGGCUCAACCUGUGGCCUGCAUUUGAAACUGUAGUUCUUGAGUACUGGAGAGGCAGACGGAAUUCCUAGUGUAGCGGUGAAAUGCGUAGAUAUUGGGAGGAACACCAGUGGCGAAGGCGGUCUGCUGGACAGCAACUGACGCUGAGGCGCGAAAGCGUGGGGAGCAAACAGG